rnacentral:rRNA from 1 species
UACGUAGGCACCAAGCGUUGUCCGGAUUUAUUGGGCGUAAAGAGCUCGUAGGCGGUUCGGUAAGUCGGGUGUGAAAACUCUGGGCUCAACCCAGAGCCGCCACCCGAUACUGCUGUGACUCGAGUGCGGUAGGGGAGCGGGGAAUUCCUGGUGUAGCAGUGAAAUGCGUAGAUAUCGAGAGGAACACCAGUGGCGAAGGCGAGUCCCUGGACAACACCUGACACUGAGGCACGAAAGCUAGGGGAGCAAACAGG